rnacentral:lncRNA from 1 species
AUGGAGCAGGAUUUAGUAUGGAAUUCCAGCACAGGGAAUUCAGGAUGGGAUCUCUUGGAGUUCCCCCAUUCCCUCAAAAUUUUCCCUCCAUUUUUAUCCCUUUUUUUUGUGAUCAUCCCAUUUUCCAUGGAAUUCCAGCUCUUUUUUCCACAGGGAAUUCAGGAUGGAGUUCCCCCAUUCCCUCGAACAUUUCCCUCCAUUUCCAUCCCUUUUUCCCUGAUCCCAACCCCCAUUUGGGGCCAUUCCCUGUGGGACCAUCUUGUUUCCAAUGGAAUUCCAGCUCUUUUUCCCACAGGGAAUUUGGGAUGGAGUUCCCCCAUUCCCUCAGACAUUUCCCUCCAUUUUUAUCCCUUUUUUUGCCCCUUUGGGGCCGUUCCCACCAGGCCCAUCCCGUUUUCCCCCAGAAUUCCAACACAAGAAAUUCAGGAUGGAGUUCCCCCAUUCCCUCAGACAUUUCCCUCCAUUUCCAUCCCUGUUUUUGCCCCCUUGGGGCCAUUCCCGCCCGUUUUCCCCCGGAAUUCCAGCACAGGGAAUUCAGGAUGGGAUGAUUCAGAAUUCCCCCAUUCCCUCGGACAUUUCCCUCCAUUUUCAUCCCUGUCUUUGCCCCCUUUGGGGCCGUUCCCCCCGGGCCCAUCUGGAAUUCCAGCACAGGGAAUUCAGGAUGGAGCUUCCCCAUUCCCUCAAGCAUUUCCCUCCAUUUCCAUCCUUGUUUUUGCUCCCUUGGGGCCAUUCCCGCCAGGCCCAUCCCGUUUUUGCCCCAGAAUUCCAGCACAGGGAAUUCAGGAUGGGAUCUCUUGGAGUUCCCCCAUUCCCUCAAAAUUUUCCCUCCAUUUCCAUCCCUGUUUUUGCCCCCUUUGGGGCCAUUCCCAGCGGGCCCAUCCCGUUUUCCCCCGGAAUUCCAGCACAGGGAAUUCAGGAUGGGNAUGCAAAGCUCAGCCCAGAGGCCUUGGGGGGCUUUUCCUUCUGGGGCUGCUUUUAGGGGGAGCUGGGGCUGGGAUGGAUCAGUGGGAUUUUUAUCCCCUUCCCAUCCCAGAUUUUUCUGGGAAUGGCUGGUUCCCUUUAUGA